UGAGGGGAAGACUGAUAUGAAAAAGAUUAAGUUUCCACAGAUGGAGUAGAAAUCUGCUAGUAAAACUGUUCAACGACAAGCAAAGAGGCAGCACUACCUUGUCCUAUAAGAGAAAUUUUGGAAAAGGAAAAGAAGUUAAGAUUUGAAACUGAAGACAAAGCAAUGAGACUUCUAAGUAAUGUGUCAUUUUUGUUGAAACCAGGGGGUUAUUUUUUCGGUAUUACUCCUGAAAAAGUGAUUGGCAAAAACCGUUGUUUCUAGAUUUGUGUAUUUUCCAUUUUUUUCCCUUCUGGUUACUGCUACACCUGUUUUUGGGAGGUGAUUGUGUAAACAUUUUAGUGUGCUUUAGUUAUUGUAAGAAUAUUUUUAACAUUGUUAAUUUUAAUAUUAUUGUAAGAAUAUUUUGAAUUAUAAUUCAGUUAUUAAUUUAUAUCAUAUAUAUAUCUUUCAUUGAA